AUCUACAGCUUGGCUUUUCCCUUAGUAUUUCUCUCACUUCAUGGUGUUGGUAGACAUAAACCUGCUAAGCCAGAAUGCUUGAAAGAAUUGUGUCUUUCAGUUAAACUCCAGAGUUGAGAUACUGCCAUUUUGAAGGCUGUUUAAUUCCCAUCACAAUAAUUUUAGGAAGAAAUUCUGAAUGAGGGUGGUGAGGCCCUGGCCCAGGUUGCCCAGAGGAGUUGUGGCUGCCCCAUCCCUGGAGGUGUUCAAGGCCGGGUUAGAUGGGGCUUGGAGCUCCUGAUCCAGUGGGACAUGGAAGGGGGUGGAACUAAAUGGGCUUUAGGACUUUUCCAGCCCAAACCAUUCCAUGAUUCUAUGAUUCUCAUGCACCAUUUCAAUAAAAUGUCACAGAGAAUUAAUUUUAAAGCUGCAUUUUAAAAAUGAGACCUUUAUAUUCACUGUGUUUGCAAACUGUCUUCCUUGCUUUGUUUUCUUCUGUUGUUGUUUCUGGUUUUUUUUCACUGCUAGAUAAUAUAAUUGCUCAUGUUUGUGGCUUACCUGUCUUCUAUCUUUCUUCACUCUGCCAGUCUCGCAUCUUGCUUUUAAUCCUGUUUUCAAAUGAAUUUGCUACUUGUUUUUUCCUUUUCUUUUUAUUUCCAGUUAAUUAACUGCUCAGGGUUAGGUUUUGUUUUGUUGUCUUUAAUGAUUUAUUUAGGUCUUUCUAAUUUUUUUUAGGCAGUUUUCUGUGUUGAUGAGUGAUGUGGAAAUACAUUAUGUGAUUUUGUUUUAUCCAAGCAGAGCUUAUUUCUGUUAAAACUAAUAAGUAAGAGAAUGCUUGCAUCAACCUGUUACUUACUGGUAUUUAAUAUAAAAAGCCAUUUCUUCUGUUUGGGGGAAUCUUACAAGAUCUUAAUCUUUAGUAUGCAUUUCUUGGCUCGUAAUUGUAAUUCUCUACUGCAUUUCUAGUCACUUUAGACAAGUGUAUGAGCAGCUGUAGGUAUUGUGUUGUCUCAUUCCUUGUUUGAACUCAUACACACUAACAGCGAGAUUAGAUGUUAUGAUACAGGUACACCAGAACGUCUGCAACAGAAAAAUUUGUGCCAAGCAAGUAACUGCCGAUGGCUGGGUCAGGCAGAGGGAGAGGACGGGCCUCGUUCACCUUCAACAUUGAGGCUAUUGGCUUUGGUAAAGGUGCAGUUCUACCUGAUGUUGCGUGUCAGCCUCCACCAGUCUUUCCUAGUACAGACAAUAAGCCAGUGCCUCUGAAAACAGGAGAAGAUGAAGAUUACAUGUUGGCCUUAAAACAAGAUCUUAGAGGAACUAUGAAAAAAAUGCCAUAUUUUUUGGCAGUAGAAGAAGAUCGAGAAGCCAUUGAUAGGUACAGUAAAAAGUACAGUGAAAAGGAGCGUGCGACAUGGACACCAGAUUGGAGAAGACUCCCAAGAGAGAUGAAGCCAAGGAAAAAGACUAAAAAAGCUUUCUUCUGCAGAAUUGUGAACCAGAUUCUUCAACAGCAGUUGGAGCUGGUAUUGGUUGUUCUCACAGGAAAAAUCUUUUUUGUUACACAGCAUCAUAUGUGUAUUUGUUUCUCAAAGUGUUUUCCAGUAUGCAUGACUGUUAUUUUAAGUUCAGUUCUCUGUAGAAGUCUGUCGCUGUGUUAAUGUGAAAUAACACUUGGCCUCCUGUGUCUAGCUGUCUGUUACAUGUAAUUGGUUACUUUCUUGUUCUCUUUGUCCAAGUCCUUCAUGUGUCAUUUUUCAGUUCAAGGAUAAAAUAGAAAAAGAAAAGGGAAUGUGUGGUAGUCAUGGAGACUGGCUCAGCUGGCAGCUUUGGUCCUUUUAAGAGCGUCGUUGAGAAGCAUGGUACUAGAGGUAGACUGUGAGAUCCAAUUGAAAAUUAAACACUUAUUUGCAAAAUCUCUAAAGAAGAAACCACUACCUACCUACUUUUUGGAUUUUUUUAAAAAAAGAAACUGCAUUGGCUUUUAUAAACUGGAUGCAAUAAAGAUUCAAUGAAAUAAUAAAUGACGAUUUAGUAUUUGUUUUUUACAAUAAUAUAUUUAUUAUAAACAAAGACAGAAUCACUGCUCGCUGUGACAGAUUUUUCCUCUUUCUUCUGUGCCAGUUUCUCUAUUUGCUCUUAAAAGUGCAUUUUCUAACAUAGCUGUAGUGGCAAAGAUCAGCUGAGCAUCAGAACUUGAUUGGAUGAAAAAAAGAGGUUCUUCUAAAAGCAGAUAUCAUGUGGGUUUAGUUUUAUGGGGAACCCUGAUGAUACAGAGGCCAUACAGAAGUCAUAUGUCUUGGGAAAUUUGUAAGUAGCUGACAAGUGACGCAUUAACUCUUCUGGUCCAUAUCCUUGUUGUAUUUUGAGGACAGCCAUUGUAGGUUGUGCUUUAUGGUCACGUGGAACAAGUAAAGAGAAUCUGCACCGAAUUUCAAACUACUCUGCCUUCGUAGAUUGCAGGGUGGGUUUUGAGCCACUACAGAAUUACAUGCACAGGGGUGACUUCAUUUUACACACCUCUCCCUCUUCCUUUCUUCUUUCCCUUGAGACCUGCCUUCUUAGUAGCAAAAUUUUGGGUGGAAUUCCUCAUCUCUUCCAUGCUAACCCUGAUGUGUGGGCCACAGUAUCCUAGAUAACAGCAGUGCCUGCCAGAAAAAACACCCAAAACCAAGAAACGUUGACUGGGAUCAGCUCUUGUAGGCCAUCUAUAUACAUAUAUCGAGACAGCUAAGAUUAUGCAUUUAAGCAUGAAGAACAGGUAUUUGGAAAGAUUGCAUUGUAUUCCAUUGCAAGGAAGACAAUUGUAAGGAGCUGUUUUGCUUGACAGUCUGCUAAAGAUGGGUCAGUUUCUCUAGUUUUAGGAUAAACCCCAGAGACGCCCAGCAUUUCAGGGAAGAUCAUGCAUGCGUCUCUUCAUUUCCAGGCUGCUUGUUUUGUAGGCAUUACCUCUAAAAGCCUGCAGGGGGUUGUGCAGAGGUGAUAGUUUUGAAUCGCACUUUCCACUUGUUUCCCUUAAAAGCCUACUUAUUCUGGAUGUGUUUGCUUUGAUGCCCUUUUUUGAUGGUUGUACAGAGCAGCUUGACUUUGCUCAGCUCGGUGCAGUGCUUUUGUUACAUCAUCCCUUCCUAGGCAAAACACUGAAAGGAACAAGUAACAUGUGUUACUUGUGACACAUGCUUUUGACAAAAUACCUUUGUCUUCUCAGCAGCUCUUAAGUGUUCUGCUUCCUUAAGGAUUAGGCCAGAUAAAAUAUGUAACCGCACUGGGUUGCUAUCUGCUCUGGGGAGGGUUUCCCCUCCAUUGAUGCAUAUUGUUUUCUUUAGCACCACUUAGCACAACCCAGCAUAGAAAAGGUGCAAGUGAUGUAAGACAGCUUGUCUGGAUCUGCCUUGCCCAUCAGAAGCUGUGGAGAUGCACCAAUGUGGCACUUCACACACUUUUACCCUGCUGAGAAGAGCCAGUCUGCAUUCGGUACAGCCCUGUUUUAUAUGAUCAUCCUGAAUACAGCAGGAGAGCCAAGAGAUGAUUACAUCGUGGUAGCAGGAGGUCUCAAAGAGCUCUCUGAGUGCUGUAACUUCUUUUGGUGUGGAGCUAUUUACUCCUUCUCACUGGUAAGUCAAACUUCACUGCUGGAUUUGGGGCAGCUAUUCCUUUAGUUUAAGGUGCGGCAGUGUAGGUGGUUCUUCAUAGAAUCAUAGAACACUGUAGGUUGGAAGGGACCUUAAAGCCCAUCCAGCUCCAGCCCCACUGUCAUGGACAGGGACACCUUCCACUGGACCAGGGCUCAAAGUCCCAUCCAAGCUGGCCUUCAACACCUCCAGGGAUGGGGCAGCCACAACUUCUCUGAACAGCCUGGGCCAGGGCCUCCCCACCCUCAUCAUGAUGAAUUUCUUCCUAAUGCCUAAUCUAAGUCUUUCCCCUUUCCAAUUUAAAGCCAUUCCCCCUCAUCCUAUGACUCCAUGCCAUUGGAAAAAGUCUCUCCCAGCUUUUCUGUAGCCCCUUUCAGUACUGGAAGCUGCUCUAAGGACUCCCUGGAGAUUUCUCUCCUCCAGGCUGAACAACCCCAAUUCUCUCAGCCUGUCAGCUCUUACCUGGGUACAUGGAAUGCUAUAUUUGACCUUCGCUCCACCAUGUAGUUAAGUAGCGUGAUGAGAUUGCAGGGAGUAGCUUGAUAAAGAUUGUGUUCACGAGUCAGGGGACUAGAUGGAAAUAUGCACUGUGGACUCAUUAGGUGAGAGCCAGCUGUGGUCCAAAAUCCGUCGAGCUGCAGUCACCAGGGCCUGCUGUGUUGGAGCUAAUAAACUCUGCCAUCUUCCUUUUUUUUUUUAAUGUCUUCAAAGUACCCAGCUGUCAUUAGUGUGUUGAACAAAUUAGUAACAAUAGUGAGUUUUUGUCUUUGGAAAGAUAAUGAAAAGUAACAAUGUAGAUUUUGUUCUAGUGUCUUAUCGCGAGUACAAAGGUGAAAAGUGUUUUCAUAGACUUAUGGAAUGGUUUGCAUUGGAAGUGACCUCAAAGCCCAUCCAGUUCCACCCCACUGCCUUGGGCAGGGACACCUCCCACUGAACCAGGUUGGCUCAAGGCCCCAUCCAAGCUGACCUUGAACACCUCCAGGGAGAGAGCAGCUACAACUUCUCAACCUGGGCUAGGGCCUCACCACCCUCAUUGUGAAGAAUUUCUUUAUAAUGUCUAAUCUAAAACUCCCGUGUUCCAAUUUAAAGCCAUUUCCCCUUGUCCAAACACUCCAUGCCUCUGUAAAAAGUCCCUUCUCGGAUUUCCUGGAGCCCCUUUCGGUACUGGAAGCUGCUCUAAGGUCUCCGCAGAGCCUCCUCUUCUCCAGGCUGAACAACCCCAACUCUCUCAGCCUGUCCUCACAGCAGAGGUGCUCCAGCCCUCAGAUCAUUUCUGUGGCCUCUUCUGGACCCAUUCCAACAAUUCCAGAAGCAGACACAGGUGUCCAGGUGGGGUAUCACAAGAGCAGAGUAGAGGGGGAGAAUCCCCUCCCUCACCCUGCUGGCCGUACUUCUUUGGAUGCAGCCCAGGGUACAGUUGGCCUGACUUUUUGAAGCUGCAUGUCAUUCUUUGGCCAAACUUCUGGUCAGCCCUCUGUUCAAAGUGAAUUUCUGACUGGCCCUGUAGGCAUCACUUGGCAUAAGCUGGGCAUUUACACUUCUGUGAAUGAUGUAGCUUCAAGUCUAAGGUAAUUUUAAUACAGGGAUUCCUAUGGCAUUCUCAAGGUGUAAGCUCUUAAGAGGGAGUAAAAUAAUUUGUGUUCUUCCAUAACAGAAAAAAAAAUAAUGGUAAUGUAUUUUAUUUUAACAGGUAUAAUACAAAAAAAAGCAAAAAGCUCCGAGCCUACAAGUAAUCAGGAUGUGUUGAAAAAAAUUGAGGAGUUGGAGAAGAGGGAUGAUGAAGAAGAAAAAUCUGAAGACGAGAAAGAGAAAACAAAAGACAAAGAAGAUGAAG